AUCUCUGAAGUUAAGCAGCAUUGAGCCUGGUCAGUACUUAGAUGGGUGACCACUUGGGAAUACCAGGUGCUGUAAG